rnacentral:ncRNA from 1 species
AAUAAUUAGCGGGGAAAGAAGACCCUUUUGAGCUUGACUCUAAUCUGGCAGUGUAAGGACACAUAAGAGGUGUAGAAUAAGUGGCAGAUAUUAGACUUCGGUUUGGUAUCGCCAAUGAAGUACCACUACUCUUAUUGUUUCCUUACUUACUUGAUUAAAUGGAAUGUGUAUCAUUUUCUAGCCAUUAUACGGAUAUAUUUAUUAUCUCUUAUGGUAUUCGGUUUUGAUGCAAUCUUCUUGAUCAAAGUAUCACGAGUUUGUUAUAUAAUCUCAAACAAAUUCUUUAAUGAGAGAUGCAUUUACUGUAUUAUUGAUUUGAAAAUUUGGUAUAACUCCAAUUACUCAGGUAUGAUCAAAUUCAAGGACAUUGCCAGGUAGGGAGUUUGACUGGGGCGGUACAUCUCUCAAAUAAUAACGGAGGUGUCCUAAGGCCAGCUCAGUGCGGACAGAAACCACACAUAGAGCAAAAGGGCAAAUGCUGACUUGAUCUCGGUGUUCAGUACACACAGGGACAGCAAAAGCUCGGCCUAUCGAUCCUUUUGGUUUAAAGAGUUUUUAACAAGAGGUGUCAGAAAAGUUACCAUAGGGAUAACUGGCUUGGGCGGCCAAGCGUUCAUAGCGACGUCGCUUUUUGAUCCUUCGAUGUCGGCUCUUCCUAUCAUUGUGAAGCAAAAUUCACCAAGCGUUGGGUUGUUCACCCAUGCAAGAGAACGUGAGCUGGGUUUAGACCGUCGUGAGACAGGUUAGUUUUACCUUACUAAUGACAAAACGUUGUUGCGACAGCAUUCCUGCGUAGUACGAGGGGAACCGCAGGUUCGGACCAAUGGCACAAUACUUGUUUGAGCGAACAGUGGUAUGGCGCUACGUCCGUUGGAUUAUGCCUGAACGCCUCUAAGGUCGUAUCCGUGCUGGACUGCAAUGAUAAAUAAGGGGCAAUUUGCAUUGCUAAACCAUUUAAAGUUUAUUAUUUAUAUUUUAAACGACAAUGGAUGUGAUGCCAAUGUAAUUUGUAACAUAGUAAAUUGGGAGGAUCUUUGAUAACCUGGUGGCAGUUACAUAUGAAAACAUUAUUUAAUACAAUGACAAAACCUAGAAUCAAUUGUAAACCACUUUUGUAACGGGAAAGGUGUUGUAAGUGGUUAAGCAGCUGCCAUACUGCGAUCCUUUGCUUGAUGAUUC